rnacentral:lncRNA from 13 species
AUCAGUGGAUCCCUCAUUCAGGAGCAGUGCUGCAGGGCAACACUUAUUUCCAGGGGUGACCCAGGCCUGCAGGGUCCCAGUGUCAGUCAUCGGCAGGCUUUGCCCAAGCCUGCACUCAAGCCCCUAUUCCUCCUCUCCCACAGGGAAUGUGACAUCCUCUUCCAGGGUACAGCCACCUGCAGAGGGCCUGACACAUCUGUUGGAGCCACUGUAUUCUGAGGGGGAAGGAGGCUGGGAAACCUGGUUGGGGGAGAGGAGGCCACUCCAUGUGCUCCAGCCCAGCCCCGCUUCCUGCCACUCCCUAGAACUCAACUUUAGGGUCAUCACUCUCAACAGUAUGGGUGCCACCAGUGAUUGUGACUUCAUGCCAAGUUCCUAUUCUGGGUUUCACUCUGCAUGACCCACUUCAGCAGGAUGGGCGAGGACUUCAUUCUCUGCAGCAUCAAGUAAUUCAGCUUCGUGUAGCUCUCAGAUGCCUACAGAAUGUGACUUGAAAUCAGUGUUU